rnacentral:rRNA from 1 species
GUGGGGAAUCUUAGACAAUGGGGGAAACCCUGAUCUAGCCAUGCCGCGUGAUCGAUGAAGGCCUUAGGGUUGUAAAGAUCUUUCGCUGGGGAAGAUAAUGACUGUACCCAGUAAAGAAGCCCCGGCUAACUCCGUGCCAGCAGCCGCGGUAAUACGGAGGGGGCUAGCGUUAUUCGGAAUUACUGGGCGUAAAGCGCACGUAGGCGGACCAGAAAGUUGGGGGUGAAAUCCCGGGGCUCAACCUCGGAACUGCCUUCAAAACUGCUGGUCUUGAGUUCGAGAGAGGUGAGUGGAAUUCCGAGUGUAGAGGUGAAAUUCGUAGAUAUUCGGAGGAACACCAGUGGCGAAGGCGGCUCACUGGCUCGAUACUGACGCUGAGGUGCGAAAGCGUGGGGAGCAAACAGGAUUAGAUACCCGGGUAGUCC